rnacentral:rRNA from 1 species
ACGGGAGGCAGCAGUGGGGAAUAUUGGGCAAUGGGGGAAACCCUGACCCAGCAACGCCGCGUGGAGGAAGAAGGUUUUCGGAUCGUAAACUCCUGUCCUGAGAGACGAGAAGAAGACGGUAUUUCAGGAGGAAGCCCCGGCUAACUACGUGCCAGCAGCCGCGGUAAUACGUAGGGGGCAAGCGUUAUCCGGAUUUACUGGGUGUAAAGGGAGCGUAGACGGUAAAGCAAGUCUGAAGUGAAAGCCCGGGGCUCAACCCCGGAACUGCUUUGGAAACUGUUUUACUGGAGUGCAGGAGAGGUAAGUGGAAUUCCUAGUGUAGCGGUGAAAUGCGUAGAUAUUAGGAGGAACACCAGUGGCGAAGGCGGCUUACUGGACUGUAACUGACGUUGAGGCUCGAAGGCGUGGGGAGCAAACAGGAUUAGAUACCCUGGUA